UGCAUCGGAACGGGAAUCGAACCCAGGCCGCCCGCGUGGCAGGCGAGCAUUCUACCACUGAACCACCGAUGG